CAUAAUUGCAUCUGUAAGUCGCUUUGGAUAAGAGCAUCUGCUAAAUGACUAAAA
rfam:Salmo salar isolate Sally breed double haploid chromosome ssa16, whole genome shotgun sequence.